rnacentral:tRNA from 1 species
GGGUAGGUAGCUCAGUUGGUAGAGCAACGGACUGAAAAUCCGUGUGUCGCGGGUUCAACUCCCGCCCUGCCCA